AUUGAACGCUGGCGGCAGGCCUAACACAUGCAAGUCGAGCGGCAGCGGGAAAGUAGCUUGCUACUUUUGCCGGCGAGCGGCGGACGGGUGAGUAAUGACUGGGAAAUUGCUCAGUCGAGGGGGAUAACAGUUGGACACGACUGCUAAUACCGCAUACGCCCUACGGGGGAAAGCAGGGGACCUUCGGGCCUUGCGCGAUGGGAUAUGCACAGGUGGGUUUAGCUAGCUGGUGAGGUAAUGGCUCACCAAGGCGACGAUCCCUAGCUGGUCUGGGAGGAUGAUCAGCCACACUGGAACUGAGACACGGUCCAGACUCCUACGGGAGGCAGCAGUGGGGAAUAUUGCACAAUGGGGGAAACCCUGAUGCAGCCAUGCCGCGUGUGUGAAGAAGGCCUUCGGGUUGUAAAGCACUUUCAGCGAGGAGGAAAGGUUGAUGCCUAAUACGUAUCAACUGUGACGUUACUCGCAGAAUAAGCACCGGCUAACUCUGUGCCAGCCGCCGCGGUAAAAC
rnacentral:rRNA from 1 species